CUUUGUUAGGCUACUUCUGUGGCUGAAAGAGUUGCUGAUGAGCGUUGUGAAUCUUCACCAGGUUCAAGUGAGUCCUUGGUUGGUUACCAAGUUCGCCUUGAUAGUGGAAGGAAUGAGAGAACAAAGCUCCUCUUUUGUACAACUGGCAUUCUUCUGAGAAUGUUUUCAGGAAAUAAAAACUUGGCUGGUGUUAGUCAUAUCAUUGUUGAUGAAGUGCA